UAACCUGCCCAAGAGAUCGGGAUAACACCUGGAAACAGAUGCUAAUACCGGAUAACAACAGAUGAUGCCUAUCAACUGUUUAAAAGAUGGUUCUGCUAUCACUCUUGGAUGGACCUGCGGUGCAUUAGCUAGUUGGUAGGGUAACGGCCUACCAAGGCGAUGAUGCAUAGCCGAGUUGAGAGUCUGAUCGGCCACAUUGGGACUGAGACACGGCCCAAACUCCUACGGGAGGCAGCAGCC
rnacentral:rRNA from 1 species